UACUGGGGCCAGCAAGAAGAGGAAUCAUCCACGUCUACGUCGUUCCUCGACUUUGUUGGAACUUUGGGCAACUUCCUAAUGCACACCUCUGUUCAACCAGCGUCGCUACGCAGCUUCGUACAAUUAUCGUUACUAUUCCGUUUCCGUACCUUCCCCAUAUUUUUAGCCCUUUAUAUCUGAAUUUCCGGUUUCGUUUUUCUGUCACAAGGGUUAACAAAUCUUCUUGAUAUUGUCUUUGCAUCGUCGUUGGAAUGUUUUGGAUCGAGAUCUUGAUGAUGUGGCGAAGAUUAAAAUGGUGAAGAAUUCUUACUGGAACUGGACCUAUCAGGGAUAUUUUGGAUAUUUUGUUCUCACGAUUAGUAAAACUAUUCAGAUAUCUACCAUUAUCAAGGGCAACGCUAAUUUUUAAUAAGUGCUGAAACUAGAAAGGAAACAUUUAUAUCGGAAAUUAACUUGGAUUCAGAAACUGACGCGGCACACGCUAAAUCUUCUGUACUUAUACUGUUAGCAGAGAACGUGGCAGCGCGGUGGAAAAAUUCUGCAACGCGACACGAGACGGCAAUCGCUUAAUUGUGAUUAAUUGCGGUUUUACCAGGAAAAGAUCGCGUUGUAACGCGCGGUCCGAUUACCCGGCGCGAGUCGCUCAAGCGAUUCGCUUGCUCGCGCAACUUUAAAGAGCCAGUUGCGUGCAAUGCUUGUUUCCUUACUUUCACGCAUCGUAUCGAAACUAUAGCCCUCUUGAUUUCUCAGCCAUUCUACUCGAUCGUGCAUGCUGAUCCUUUUUCACGAUAACGGUUAAGACCAUCCUCUUCCUACCUCUGACUGACCGCCGCAAAUAACUUUAUUGCGGCAAUUAAAAUUAUCGCUGUCCCGGCUAAAUCAUCUGAUUAACACACGCACAAAUGUGCUGUCUCUUUUGGAGUUUACUCUUUUGGAGAAGAACCAAUAUUCUGUACAAAUAUUUUCUUUAGGUUUUUAAUACUUCCUAAUCCUAUUCACCUUACACGUUUUUGCUAGGAACCAGAUUAGUUCUAUAGAAGGCUCUGUAAUUAUAUUAUCCUUAAUGUUCAUGUCAAAGGAAAAUAUCCCAUGAACCGCAAUACAAUUUAUCUACAUCAUGUUCAAGAUGAAUACUACGAAAAAGCUUAAGGUACAAUGGAAGGAGGAAAGUUUCGAUGCCUAUUGCUGCGACAUCCGGUUUCCGGGCAAGUGAAAUGGCGAAUGGAAUAAUUUAAUAUAGGGGCGAUACAAGGGCCAAAGCGAUCGGUCUAAUCGUGUCUGAACGAGGUUAAAACACCGGCACCCGCCGCUCUUAUUUACGUCCGACAAUAAGUCAAUUCAUCACUCUGCGAUUUGGCCUUAAGUGGUAUCACUGACUCAUACACACAGCCGUCUGGAGCGGUGUGCCUAUUUCGGGCAUAAAUCACUGUUGCCCGUGCGGUGCGUAAUAAUGAACAAGCGAGCGUAGCACGCGACCCUUUAAACGUGCUGGCUGGAAAACGAGUGGCUCGUAAGGUAGUAGGGAUUAGCUUUGGUCCCUAUGUGUCCCUGCUUAAUCCUGAAAACGUUACGGGCCGCGAAAUUCUUCGCCCGUAUCAGGUCACGUAAAAAUGCAAUUUUACGAGUACGUAGGUUUACAAACUAGGGGCCAAGCUAUGCAGAUAACAAUGAAGAUAAAGAAAUGGAUUUUUAUUGCUUGAUAAAUUGGUAUAGCUAACGUACAAUCAGUGUAGAUAUCUUAGAAGUAUUGUGGUUGAUGGAAUAUUUUUAUAACGGUAACUCUAGAAUUUGAAUUGCGAGGGCAAAAUUGUUUCUAAUAAACGCAUGCAGUCGGUGAUGCAAUUGUGCUAAUGCGAGUGCGUUUGCUCAGAGAAAUAGAAGAUACCAGGGAAGAUAUCACUUAGUACCGUGCAAUUAUUUAUGUUUAAGCUUUAAUUCAUAUUAAAUUGUUGGUAAGCAAGUAACAAAUAAAUAAUUAAUCAGCGAAGAACUUGAUUAAUGAUUAGUUCUGUAUGUUAAGGGGCACCAUAGGCAGUUAAUGAAGGGUAGAAUACUCUGGUAAUAUAAAGAUGCACCGAAGAAAAUCUAUUACGUCUGUUACACCAGUUGAUGAUUAAUAUAGAAUGCCUAUGACUUUUCUAUCUAGUCGUCGUCCACGUAAGACCCAAAGUCCUUUAACGAAGGUACGAAGUAUAAAAACUAUAUUGCCGUGGCAAUGUCAGGAGUCGCGACAUUUUAGUCGAAUGGCAGCGGGGGACGCGGAUAAACCAGGAAGUACGGGGAACCGACCGGAUCCGGCUAAGUUCUGGCACGGAUUUCGUUCACAGGCUCGUGGCCCACGGCCACGAAAACCCGGGAGACAUGGAUCGUGGGCAACAAGUCACCGGGAAACGGCGCGUGACCGCCACAUUCACGCUGCCAGAUUUACGACAAU
rnacentral:lncRNA from 1 species